UGACUGCCAGGGAACACGAUAAGGAG
rnacentral:piRNA from 1 species